GGACAUUUGUCAUGCUCGGACAUUAAAAUUGGAAUGAUCCAGAGAAGAUUAGCAUGGUCCCUGUGCAAGGAUGACAUGCAAAUUUUUGAAGGUUGUUAGGAUGUC